CGGGGCGUGGCGCAGUUUGGUAGCGUGCUUGGUUCGGGUACCAAGAGGCCGUGGGUUCGAAUCCCGUCGCCCCGA
rnacentral:tRNA from 1 species